rnacentral:rRNA from 1 species
GAUGAACGCUGGCGGCGUGCCUAAUACAUGCAAGUCGAGCGAACAGAUGAGGAGCUUGCUCCUCUGACGUUAGCGGCGGACGGGUGAGUAACACGUGGAUAACCUACCUAUAAGACUGGGAUAACUUCGGGAAACCGGAGCUAAUACCGGAUAAUAUAUUGAACCGCAUGGUUCAAUAGUGAAAGACGGUUUUGCUGUCACUUAUAGAUGGAUCCGCGCCGCAUUAGCUAGUUGGUAAGGUAACGGCUUACCAAGGCAACGAUGCGUAGCCGACCUGAGAGGGGGAUCGGCCACACUGGAACUGAGACACGGUCCAGACUCCUACGGGAGGAAGCAGUAGGGAAUCUUCCGCAAUGGGCGAAAGCCUGACGGAGCAACGCCGCGUGAGUGAUGAAGGUCUUCGGAUCGUAAAACUCUGUUAUUAGGGAAGAACAAAUGUGUAAGUAACUAUGCACGUCUUGACGGUACCUAAUCAGAAAGCCACGGCUAACUACGUG